GUGGGGAAUAUUGGACAAUGGGCGAAAGCCUGAUCCAGCAAUGCCGCGUGAGUGAUGAAGGCCUUAGGGUUGUAAAGCUCUUUUACCAGGGAUGAUAAUGACAGUACCUGGAGAAUAAGCUCCGGCUAACUCCGUG
rnacentral:rRNA from 1 species